rnacentral:lncRNA from 1 species
CAACAAUCGGGAUAUAAACCCAGGCAUUCGAGCUGGCAACAGCAGCCCCCCUUUGGGUCCCUUCCCUUUGUAUGGGAGCUGUUUUCAUGCUAUUUCACUCUAUUAAAUCUUGCAACUGCACUCUUCUGGUCCAUGUUUCUUACGGCUCGAGCUGAGCUUUUGCUCACCGUCCACCACUGCUGUUUGCCACCACCGCAGACCUGCCGCUGACUCCCAUCCCUCUGGAUCCUGCAGGGUGUCCGCUGUGCUCCUGAUCCAGCGAGGCGCCCAUUGCCGCUCCCAAUUGGGCUAAAGGCUUGCCAUUGUUCCUGCACGGCUAAGUGCCUGGGUUUGUUCUAAUUGAGCUGAACACUAGUCACUGGGUUCCAUGGUUCUCUUCUGUGACCCACGGCUUCUAAUAGAACUAUAACACUUACCACAUGGCCCAAGAUUCCAUUCCUUGGAAUCCGUGAGGCCAAGAACUCCAGGUCAGAGAAUACGAGGCUUGCCACCAUCUUGGAAGCGGCCUGCUACCAUCUUGGAAGUGGUUCACCACCAUCUUGGGAGCUCUGUGAGCAAGGACCCCCCGGUAACAUUUUGGCAACCACGAACGGACAUCCAAAGUGAUGGGAAACGUUCCCCGCAAGACAAAAACGCCCCUAAGACGUAUUCUGGAGAAUUGGGACCAAUUUGACCCUCAGACACUAAGAAAGAAACGACUUAUAUUCUUCUGCAGUGCCGCCUGGCACUCCUGAGGGAAGUAUAAAUUAUAACACCAUCUUACAGCUAGACCUCUUUUGUAGAAAAGGCAAAUGGAGUGAAGUGCCAUAAGUACAAACUUUCUUUUCAUUAAGAGACAACUCACAAUUAUGUAAAAAGUGUGAUUUAUGCCCUACAGGAAGCCUUCAGAGUCUACCUCCCUAUCCCAGCAUCCCCGACUCCUUCCCCAACUAAUAAGGACCCCCCUUCAACCCAAAUGGUCCAAAAGGAGAUAGACAAAAGGGUAAACAGUGAACCAAAGAGUGCCAAUAUUCCCCAAUUAUGACCCCUCCAAGCAGUGGGAGGAAGAGAAUUCGGCCCAGCCAGAGUGCAUGUGCCUUUUUCUCUCCCAGACUUAAAGCAAAUAAAAACAGACUUAGGUAAAUUCUCAGAUAACCCUGAUGGCUAUAUUGAUGUUUUACAAGGGUUAGGACAAUUCUUUGAUCUGACAUGGAGAGAUAUAAUGUCACUGCUAAAUCAGACACUAACCCCAAAUGAGAGAAGUGCCACCAUAACUGCAGCCUGAGAGUUUGGCGAUCUCUGGUAUCUCAGUCAGGUCAAUGAUAGGAUGACAACAGAGGA